GAUUCUCCGUGCCUAGCAUCCUAAGUGAGUCACAUGCUCACAAUGGUUACCAGGACCAACGUCAUGCUCCAAGAGGCCAGUCACGCUAUCAACACCAGCCCUGGCUCAGAACCGGUCCGGGGUAUCACGGCAGUGAGUUGACAAAGAGAGCCCAGGACUCUUCUUGGGCCUUAAUAGACAGGCCCCAAUGAGGAGAGGAAGCAGUCUGGGACUGCAGUCUGAGUCUUGGCGGAGACAGGAUUGCAGCCUGAGGUUUGGUGGCGAGAAUUGCACUCUGGGGAUUCAUGGAGCCAGGACAGCCAUUUUGGUCUGAGGUAGAGGAUUAUAGACAUGUGCCACCAGACCCAGGAACAAUUCUCAUAUUGAAAAAUGAAGCCGGCAUGCAGAAAUAUAAUAUCUUCUCAUUUUCUUCACAGCCGCCACCAUCACUACUGGGGGAAAAUGGGAUUUUGCUGCUCUCCUUGGUUGUCCUGAACCGAUUUCUGUGCAAAAAGAGACGUUGCUGGUUUCGGGGAGAGCCGGUGGGGGAUCCUUCUGUCUGUGUUUCCUACAUCCCUGGACCUGACCUCCAUCUCUAUGGCUUCUAGAGCCCUGGGAGAGGAGGGCCAGACACUAGGAGGUGUCCCUCAGUUUCCCUGCCCUCAUCGUGGUCUACUGUAUCCAGAAGAGUCUGUCUCAAGAGAAACCAUCCACAGUCAUGCUCAGCUUCCGUUUCUCUCCUCCUGGCCUCUCAUGGCCGCAGCCUCUGUGAUCCCUCCACUCAGCCAACUUUCCUUACCUUGCAGGCAUCACUGGAGAAAAGUCCCCAGACAUGAUUUGGACCAUGAUGACCCUGGGAUAAGCUGUAGCUCCUUAGGUGGCUCCUGUCGCCUUCACUUUAGUGGCCCUUAAGCCUUACUGUCCUCACCUGUGGUGGAAUAGGUUGCCGGAGCCCCUCUGUAUCCACCCCAUCACACGAUGUCCUCCCUCAGGGCUUAGAGUGUGCAGAGUGGGGUCCCCACAGGCCAUUUUCUCCCCAGAUGUCAUUCCUCAUGCAUUGUUCACCUGUUUGUUUUUUUCCUAGAACCUCUCACUGGCCUGGUAAUAACUGCCAACUAGGCUAGGCUGGGGGGCCAAGAAGGCCCAGGGAUCUGCCUAUCUUUGCCUCCCCAGUGCUGAGGUUACAAGUAAAUGCCAC